UGCCUACGGGGGGCAGCAGUUAGGGAUAUUCGUCAAUGGGGGAAAACCUGAACGAGCAAUGCCGCGUGAAUGAAGACGGUCCUAUGGAUUGUAAAAUUCUGUUGUUAGGGACGAACGACCGUAGUAGGAAAUGACUACGGAGUGACGGUACCUUUCAAGAAAGCUCCGGCUAACUACGUGCCAGCAGCCGCGGUAAUACGUAGGGAGCGAGCGUUAUCCGGAUUUAUUGGGUGUAAAGCGUGUGUAGGCGGU
rnacentral:rRNA from 1 species